GUCGGAAUAGUAUAGUGGUUAGUACUCCACGUUGUGGCCGUGAAGACCUGGGUUCGAUUCCCAGUUCCGACA